UGCGGAGGAAGAGCGCGUUAUCCGGAAUCACUGGGUUUAAAGGGUGCGUAGGCGGCUUGGUAAGUAAGUUGUGAAAGCCCCUUGCAUAACGAGGGAGGUGCGCUUGAUACUGUCGAGCUUGAAUCGGGAUGAGGCAGGCGGAAUGUGGCAUGUAGCGGUGAAAUGCAUAGAUAUGCCAUAGAACACCGAUUGCGAAGGCAGUCUGCUGGGCCUGUAUUGACGAUGAUGCACGAAAGCGUUGGGAGCAAACAGG
rnacentral:rRNA from 1 species